GAUCUUGUCAAAGUACUACCUUCGCCUCGAUAUUUUUGAAUAUGCUCUGUUUUAUGCGAGUAGGUGAAUUAAUGACCCUGGUUGUUUAAGAUACUUCGUAGGGCCCUGCGAAAAUUUAAAGAGCCCCGAACUUCUUUAGCCUGUGUGACCGUGGAGCUCUAUCCCUCGCAGAGUUACAGCUCUCUACGAGUGUCAUUCUUAUUUAUCUUAGACACAAUAAAGUUUGUUUACCGAAGCUAGGGUGCAUUUAUGGUUGCAAGGACAAGACUGGAAAUAUGAUAUCAGAGUUCAUCCGGGGGGAAUACAAGGGCUGUAGUAUUCAUGGGCCAAGACAAGAUGAACCGUUUCUGUAUAUUGCGAGUUUUUAGGGAGUUGUCUUUUUUCAAGAAAACAACAGCAUGCUACCUACUUUAUUUUGUUUUUUUAAUGAACUCAGGUAAAAAUUUGAAACAAUUAAGUUUUAAACUUAAAAA